rnacentral:rRNA from 2 species
UGGAUCCAGACUUUGAUUCUGGCUCAGGAUGAACGCUAGCUACAGGCUUAACACAUGCAAGUCGAGGGGAAACGACAUCGAAAGCUUGCUUUUGAUGGGCGUCGACCGGCGCACGGGUGAGUAACGCGUAUCCAACCUACCCACCACUUGGGGAUAACCUUGCGAAAGUAAGACUAAUACCCAAUGAUAUCUCUAGAAGACAUCUGAAAGAGAUUAAAGAUUUAUCGGUGAUGGAUGGGGAUGCGUCUGAUUAGCUUGUUGGCGGGGUAACGGCCCACCAAGGCUACGAUCAGUAGGGGUUCUGAGAGGAAGGUCCCCCACAUUGGAACUGAGACACGGUCCAAACUCCUACGGGAGGCAGCAGUGAGGAAUAUUGGUCAAUGGACGAGAGUCUGAACCAGCCAAGUAGCGUGCAGGAUGACGGUCCUAUGGGUUGUAAACUGCUUUUAUAAGGGAAUAAAGUGAGUCUCGUGAGACUUUUUGCAUGUACCUUAUGAAUAAGGACCGGCUAAUUCCGUGCCAGCAGCCGCGGUAAUACGGAAGGUCCGGGCGUUAUCCGGAUUUAUUGGGUUUAAAGGGAGCGUAGGCCGGAGAUUAAGCGUGUUGUGAAAUGUAGACGCUCAACGUCUGCACUGCAGCGCGAACUGGUUUCCUUGAGUACGCACAAAGUGGGCGGAAUUCGUGGUGUAGCGGUGAAAUGCUUAGAUAUCACGAAGAACUCCGAUUGCGAAGGCAGCUCACUGGAGCGCAACUGACGCUGAAGCUCGAAAGUGCGGGUAUCGAACAGGAUUAGAUACCCUGGUAGUCCGCACGGUAAACGAUGGAUGCCCGCUGUUGGUCUGAAUAGGUCAGCGGCCAAGCGAAAGCAUUAAGCAUCCCACCUGGGGAGUACGCCGGCAACGGUGCAACUCAAAGGAAUUGACGGA